rnacentral:rRNA from 1 species
UGGCCCCAACCUCCCAUCCGUGUCUAUUGUACCCUGUUGCUUCGGCGGGCCCGCCGCUUGUCGGCCGCCGGGGGGGCGCCUCUGCCCCCCGGGCCCGUGCCCGCCGGAGACCCCAACACGAACACUGUCUGAAAGCGUGCAGUCUGAGUUGAUUGAAUGCAAUCAGUUAAAACUUUCAACAAUGGAUCUCUUGGUUCCGGCAUCGAUGAAGGACGCAGCGAAAUGCGAUAACUAAUGUGAAUUGCAGAAUUCAGUGAAUCAUCGAGUCUUUGAACGCACAUUGCGCCCCCUGGUAUUCCGGGGGGCAUGCCUGUCCGAGCGUCAUUGCUGCCCUCAAGCCCGGCUUGUGUGUUGGGUCGCCGUCCCCCUCUCCGGGGGGACGGGCCCGAAAGGCAGCGGCGGCACCGCGUCCGAUCCUCGAGCGUAUGGGGCUUUGUCACAUGCUCUGUAGGAUUGGCCGGCGCCUGCCGACGUUUUCCAACCAUUCUUUCCAGGUUGACCUCGGAUCAGGUAGGGAUACCCGCUCGAAUUAAGCAUAUCACCUU